rnacentral:rRNA from 1 species
GAUGAACGCUAGCUACAGGCUUAACACAUGCAAGUCGAGGGGCAGCAUGGGCUUAGCUUGCUAAGCCCGAUGGCGACCGGCGCACGGGUGAGUAACACGUAUCCAACCUUCCGGUAACUCCGGUAUAGCCUUUCGAAAGAAAGAUUAAUCCCGGAUAGUAUGGUGAUUCCGCAUGGUUUCUCCAUUAAAGGAUUCCGGUUACCGAUGGGGAUGCGUUCCAUUAGGCAGUUGGCGGGGUAACGGCCCACCAAACCUACGAUGGAUAGGGGUUCUGAGAGGAAGGUCCCCCACAUUGGAACUGAGACACGGUCCAAACUCCUACGGGAGGCAGCAGUGAGGAAUAUUGGUCAAUGGGCGGAAGCCUGAACCAGCCAAGUAGCGUGAAGGAUGACUGCCCUAUGGGUUGUAAACUUCUUUUAUAAGGGAAUAAUUGUGGGUACGCGUACCCAUUUGCAUGUACCUUAUGAAUAAGGAUCGGCUAACUCCGUGCCAGCAGCCGCGGUAAUACGGAGGAUCCGAGCGUUAUCCGGAUUUAUUGGGUUUAAAGGGAGCGUAGGCGGGCGCUUAAGUCAGCUGUGAAAGUUUGGGGCUCAACCUUAAAAUUGCAGUUGAUACUGGGUGCCUUGAGUGCAGUAUAGGCAGGCGGAAUUCGUGGUGUAGCGGUGAAAUGCUUAGAUAUCACGAAGAACUCCUAUUGCGAAGGCAGCUUGCUGGAGUGUAACUGACGCUGAUGCUCGAAAGUGUGGGUAUCAAACAGGAUUAGAUACCCUGGUAGUCCACACAGUAAACGAUGAAUACUCGCUGUUUGCGAUAUACUGCAAGCGGCCAAGCGAAAGCGUUAAGUAUUCCACCUGGGGAGUACGCCGGCAACGGUGAAACUCAAAGGAAUUGACGGGGGCCCGCACAAGCGGAGGAACAUGUGGUUUAAUUCGAUGAUACGCGAGGAACCUUACCCGGGCUUGAAUUGCAACCGAAUUAUCCGGAAACGGGUAAGCCGCAAGGCGGUUGUGAAGGUGCUGCAUGGUUGUCGUCAGCUCGUGCCGUGAGGUGUCGGCUUAAGUGCCAUAACGAGCGCAACCCUUAUCCACAGUUACCAUCAGGUGAUGCUGGGGACUCUGUGGAGACUGCCGUCGUAAGAUGCGAGGAAGGGGGGGAUGACGUCAAAUCAGCACGGCCCUUACGUCCGGGGCUACACACGUGUUACAAUGGGGGGUACAGCAGGCAGCUCGGCGGCGACGCCCGGCCAAUCCCUAAAUCCCCUCUCAGUUCGGACUGGAGUCUGCAACCCGACUCCACGGAGCUGGAUUCGCUAGUAAUCGCGCAUCAGCCACGGCGCGGUGAAUACGUUCCCGGGCCUUGUACACACCGCCCGUCAAGCCAUGAAAGCCGGGGGUACCUGAAGUGCGUAACCGUCCAGGAGCGCCCUAGGGUAAAACCGGUGAUUGGGGCU